rnacentral:rRNA from 1 species
UGCAAGUCGAGGGGCAGCAGUACUUUUCGGAGUAGCUGGCGACCGGCGCACGGGUGCGUAACGCGUAUGCAAUCUACCCACUGCAGAGGGAUAGCCCGUGGAAACAUGGAUUAAUACCUCAUAAUACAGGGAGCCCACCUGGGCAUAUUGUUAAAGCUCCGGCGGCAGUGGAUGAGCAUGCGUCCCAUUAGCUAGUUGGUAAAGAUAACGGCUUACCAAGGCAAUGAUGGGUAGGGGUUCUGAGAGGAUGAUCCCCCCACACUGGUACUGAGAUACGGACCAGACUCCUACGGGAGGCAGCAGUAGGGAAUAUUGGUCAAUGGACGCAAGUCUGAACCAGCCAUGCCGCGUGCAGGAAGACGGCCUUCUGGGUUGUAAACUGCUUUUAUCAGGGAAGAAAAUACUCUUGCGAGAGUAAUUGCCGGUACCUGAAGAAUAAGCACCGGCUAACUCCGUGCCAGCAGCCGCGGUAAUACGGAGGGUGCAAGCGUUGUCCGGAUUUAUUGGGUUUAAAGGGUGCGUAGGCGGCCUAUUAAGUCAGUGGUGAAAGGUAUCAGCUUAACUGAUGACGUGCCAUUGAAACUAACAGGCUUGAGUACAGACGAGGUAGGCGGAAUUUAUGGUGUAGCGGUGAAAUGCAUAGAUACCAUAAAGAACACCAAUUGCGAAGGCAGCUUACUAGACUGUAACUGUCGCUGAGGCACGAAAGCGUGGGGAGCGAACUAGGAUUAGAUACCCUGGUAGUCCACGCCGUAAA